UGACCUCGGAGAAUAAAAAAUCCUCCGAGCGAUUUUAAAGACUAGACCCACAAGUCAAAUCACUCUAUCGCUCAUUGAUCCAAAACUUGAUCAACGGAACAAGUUACCCUAGGGAUAACAGCGCAAUCGCUAUUCAAGAGUCCAUAUCGACAAUAGGGUUUACGACCUCGAUGUUGGAUCAGGACAUUCCCUGAUGGUGCAACCGCUAUCAAAGGUUCGUUUGUUCAACGAUUAAAGUCCUACGUGAUCUGAGUUCAGACCGGAGUAAUCCAGGUCGGUUUCUAUCUAUUACGUAUUUCUCCCAGUACGAAAGGACAAGAGAAAUAAGGCCAACUUUAAAUCAAGCGCCUUAAGACAACCAAUGAUAACAUCUCAACUGACAACACAAACCCUGCCCUAGAACAGGGCUUAGU
rnacentral:rRNA from 1 species